AAAGGAAUUGACGGGGGCCCGCACAAGCGGCGGAGCAUGCGGAUUAAUUCGAUGCAACGCGAAGAACCUUACCAAGGCUUGACAUAUACUGGACCGCAUCAGAGAUGGUGUUUCCCUUCGGGGCUGGUAUACAGGUGGUGCAUGGUUGUCGUCAGCUCGUGUCGUGAGAUGUUGGGUUAAGUCCCGCAACGAGCGCAACCCUCGUUCUAUGUUGCCAGCACGUAAUGGUGGGGACUCAUAGGAGACUGCCGGGGUCAACUCGGAGGAAGGUGGGGAUGACGUCAAAUCAUCAUGCCCCUUAUGUCUUGGGCUUCACGCAUGCUACAAUGGCCGGUACAGAGGGUUGCGAUACUGUGAGGUGGAGCUAAUCCCUAAAAGCCGGUCUCAGUUCGGAUUGGGGUCUGCAACUCGACCCCAUGAAGUCGGAGUCGCUAGUAAUCGCAGAUCAGCAACGCUGCGGUGAAUACGUUCCCGGGCCUUGUACACACCGCCCGUCAAGUCACGAAAGUUGGUAACACCCAAAGCCGGUGGCCUAACCCUUUUGGGAGGGAGCCGUCUAAGGUGGGAUUG
rnacentral:rRNA from 1 species